UUUGAUCCUGGCUCAGAUUGAACGCUGGCGGCAUGCCUUACACAUGCAAGUCGAACGGCAGCACGGGAGCAAUCCUGGUGGCGAGUGGCGAACGGGUGAGUAAUAUAUCGGAACGUGCCCAGUAGUGGGGGAUAGCCCGGCGAAAGCCGGAUUAAUACCGCAUACGACCUGAGGGUGAAAGCGGGGGAUCGCAAGACCUCGCGCUAUUGGAGCGGCCGAUAUCAGAUUAGCUAGUUGGUGGGGUAAAGGCCUACCAAGGCGACGAUCUGUAGCUGGUCUGAGAGGACGACCAGCCACACUGGGACUGAGACACGGCCCAGACUCCUACGGGAGGCAGCAGUGGGGAAUUUUGGACAAUGGGCGCAAGCCUGAUCCAGCCAUGCCGCAUGUGGGAAGAAGGCCUUCGGGUUGUAAACCACUUUUGUCAGGGAAGAAACGGCUCUUACUAAUAUUAGGAGCUAAUGACGGUACCUGAAGAAUAAGCACCGGCUAACUACGUG
rnacentral:rRNA from 1 species